rnacentral:miRNA from 1 species
AGUUGACAGGAGAGAUGAAAUCAGAACUACGUGUUCUCGUUUAGUUCGGAUUUCAUCUCUCCUGUCAACU